UGGGAAAGAUGGCAAUCCACCAGAUUUGGCAACUAUUUUCUUUGAGACUCGUAAGAAAGAUAACAAGCUUGUUGAACCUGAAGCAAUUGAAAAACAUGCUCAACUCGAAGAAAUGGUUCAAGCAGAUCCAUCCCUACCUAC